GAGAGAGAGAGAGAGAGAGAGGGAGAGGGAGAGGGAGGGAGGGAGGAAAGGAAGCUGUGUGAUACCCGUGGGAGCAAUAUCGGAGGCGCGUAGUCAUUCUCCAUAUUUACCCUAAACCAACACAGUAAUUCCCAUGUAACUGUGUGCGCUGGCGGCCAUAUCCCGGAGACCCUAAGGCACAUGUUGACGGGACUGUGUGAGAAUGUGCGUCCAUAGUCUGCACAGGCCUGGCCUAAAUAUCCUCGUCACAUCACUCAUGACGGCCGAGAAAAUGUUUGAAAGGUUAGAAAAGAAGAACAACAACAACAUGUUAUAACAACCACCAUCAUGAGUACCACCACCACCACCACCAUCACCACCACCACCACCACCACCACUACGGCAACCACCACCACCCCCACCACACGGCUGCCACCACCACCACCACCACCACCACUCAGCCCACCGUCAUAGAGAGUGGGCGGCCUCACCCUUUCCUGCCCUCGUAUUUGCUGGACAAUGUGGAGGAUGGCGGGGGCAGCAGUGAGGCGGUGGCCGGCGGAGGAGGAGAGAGACAGGCGGAGAAGAAUGUCAAGGUCCAUUUCAAUUCUUCCUUCAACGUUGUCAAGUACGGGGACGGCACUGACAUCAAGUGCUGCACCAGGCCAGCUUCAUCCUAGUCAGCACAAGCUGUUAUGCCCACACUGACCACGGCUACUAUGUCCCCGCUGAGCUGAGUCUGCUGCGCUUCAGCCUAAGGAACGGAAUCAUGAAGUUGUUUCACUGUGUUGUUGCGCCCAUCGUGCUGCCUCGGCAAGGAAGCACUCGCUGGAGACUCACAAGCUGCUGAGUGACUCGGAGGGCUUCGGGAGCAGCCUUGAGGAAACUGCCAAGAAUCUGAAGCAGCUCUUGUCCAAGGCCUCGGACAAAGCCUGUUGGCUCUUGGGGAGGUGCUGAUGGGCGGGAAAGGUCAGGCCUGGACGACAAAACCAUGGGAGGAAGAGGAAGACUUUCCCUCGCUUGGCUCUGAGCAGGCCAGGAAAGCGUGAAGAUGUCAGGUCGCGACGCGUUGGUCCAUCGGCGCACCUUCCAGAACGCCAACCAGGUGAUGGAGUUGACCACACGCACCUUUCCCAGGACUCAACACCACCACCACCACCACCACCACCAGCGAGGACGUCAACACCAUUCACCACCACCAUUGAAACCAGAUCACACCACCACCACCAGGGUGCUCUAUGAAGGGUUUAGUGUCAUGUCGUCAAGUCCAUCUCCCUCAAUCUGUUCUGGGACCAUUUUAGUUGCAAUUCUCUGUAUCCUUUCCAACUCCACAUACUCCACCACUUCUUCCUGCAAGCUGUUCCAUUGUUAACACUUCUAUGUGAAAAACUUUACUUUUUCCAGUCACUCAAACAGGUUUCUUUAUUAAGUUUCUUUCCGUGUCCUCUCAGCCCCUGCGUUACUGCCGCUAAGAAGAGAUCAUUUCUAUCCACCUCAUCAAACAAGGGGCUUCGUGGUGCAGUGGUUAGCACACUCGGCUCACAACCGAGAGAACCCGGGUUUGAUUCCCGGGCGGAGUGGAAAAAUUUUGGGCGCCUUUUCUGACACCCUACGCCCCUGUCCUCCCAGUAGUGAAUGGGUACCAGGUAUUAAUCGGGGGUUGUGUCCCGUCUCCUGGGGUCUGUUCCCUUCUAUAAUUCCUUCCCCUUCUGUCUCCCUCCAGCAUAUGACCACAGAUGUUGCGCCCACCAAACAAAUCUUUCCAACUUUUUCCUCAUCAAACUUAUUUACCAACCUGUACAGUGCAAUCAGAUCUCCUCUCUCUCUUCUUUGUUCCAGUGUCGUCAAGUCCAUCUCCCUCAGUGUCUUCAUACGUCAUAUUCGAGAGUUCUGGGACCAUUUUGUUGCAAUUCUCUGUCUUGAGUCCAACAUAAUAAUCUUCCUUUGCAUAGUUUUUCAUUUUUUCCUUAUAUGCCUCAUCUUGGUAUUCAAAUCCUUCAUAGUUUUCAUCUGUCAUAGUUGAUGGCCAUUCUUUCCUAAGGGGCACUCGUGACUGACUCCUUCAUCUAACUCAACAUUUUUUGUGAAAAUUAGGUCAAGUCUUGAUGGUUGGUCAUCCCCUCUUAGCCUUGUUUCUCCUUUAACCCACUGCAUCAACAGAUUAUCACAUCAGGUGUGUGUGUGUGUGUGUGUGUGUGUGUUUAGAUAGUUGUUGUAUUUACCUAGUUGUAGUUUUACAGGGCCUGGGCUUUACGUUCGUGUGGUCCCGUCUCUGUAUCUACAUUUAUCCAACUUUUCCUUGAAGCUUUGCACACUCCUUUCUGAUACUACAUCCUCACUUAGUCUGUUCCAAACCUCUGUACUUCUUUGCGGGAAGCUAUAUUUCUUUAUGUCUCUCAAGCAUCUUCCCUUCCUCAAUUUUUUACUGUGUCCUCUUGUGUUCCUGGUGGUAAUUUCUUCUUUUAGUAGUAACUCCUCGUUGUCUACUUCUUCCAUUUUGCUCAAUAAUUUGUAGAUUUGUAUUAGGUCUCCCGUUUCUCUUCUUUGUUCUAGUGUUGGUAAGUCCAUUUCCUUUAGUCUCUCCUCGUAUGUCAAUCCCUCCUGCUCUGGAACCAUUUUUGUUGCCAUCUUUUGUAUUCUUCCCAGUUUCUUUAUGUGUUUCUUCUUAUGGGGAGACCACACUGCCUCUGCAUGUGUGUGUGUGUGUGUGUGUGUGUGUGUGUGUGUGUGUGCAAGAUUGACUGACUGAUGAAUGAAUAACUGGGAUUAAGGCUGGUAUUACAAGACACUUUCCCUUCUCACAUCAGCUACUUCUAAAGGUCAAAGGGGGAUAUCAGUCAGGUUCUAAUGAGUGUUUUUCAGGCUCAUGGUACAGAAGAAGGGUCACACUACCACCAGGGUCAUAAAACUACUCCUGGAAAUGCCCACAACUCCUGCGAAAGCCUUGUCAAAUAGGUGUUCUUGGGCGGCGAAAUGUCUUAUGAUACGACCCUAAGUAAAUAACUUCCUGAUGGAGUGGAUGAUUGACUUGGCAACCUGUAGCUUUACUCUCAGCCAUUUCAAGUUCCCGACUGAUGUACUAACACCCCCUCAGACUGGCUACAGUGAAGGUCAUGGCAGCCAAGCAGAGAGUGUACUGAAACUCCUGCUGUGAGCUACUCCUGAGGGCCAAGACCUGCACCCUCACCACCCCUGUAAAGGAUGCCCAUCUGACCCAACCCUCCACGGUGAAUCUGUCCCACUUAAUGUUGCAAGAGUUAUCCGGUAUACCUUCACUCUCUCAUGCUUUCCCUAUGUCCUGUGCUGUCCAACUUAAUAAUGUGAGAGUUAACUGGUGUUUUCACUAUCAUCUUUUUAGAGAGUCUGAUUACAAAACUAAUGCAGGAGUAAUGGUGUUUUUUGUUCCUGUUGGGUGCCUGGACCUAUCAGCUGUCUUGUGCUGUCCAACUUAUUAAUGCAAGAAUUGGCCUGUAUCUUCAUUCUUAACCCCUUCACUACGGCCGGGCCAAAACAGCGCCCCGUGCCAUAUCCGGGAUCGCCACGCGCGCCAAAUUUCAAAUGUUGCUAUUGAAUAUAACAAGUUUUCAGCCAUACACUCAACACAAUCAUCAUGUAUUAUAUAUGAAAACAUGCAGAAUUAAAUGGUGCACAUAAAGAAACAUAAAUAAUUGAUAAUUUUGAGAUGUAAGCAUAAAUAUAGAGAUAAAAUAACUUGCAUAUUGGUUAAAGCGAGCCAGGACGCAGUAUGCGCGUCCUCGGAUAUGGUACGGGGCACGCAGGGACACAGUAUACACGUCCUCGUGUUGUAGGGGUUAAGCCUUCCCUGUGUCCUGUGCUGUCACCUCUGUAAUGCAAGUGGUGGACAAUAUGAGAUACCCUUUGCCUCACAGUUAAUGGCCACAUAAUGAGGUAGAGGAAUGAGAUAAAAUUCAUAUAAAGCCGUAUUUUUGAAAAGGGGAAGGGAGGACUCAACUGAUAAAAGAUGGCUUUAUUUUGUACACUUUUUAUUCCUUUUUAAAUAAGAACACCAUACAUAGCAGGCAGUAGCUUAUCCAGUAGACUAUUAGUGCUGCCUUGGAGAAUCUUGGAACCAUUUGCUGAACUGAGUGCAGACCAACGUGGCUCACGUGAAGCACUUACGAGACUUGGCAACAGAAAACUCCUCAGUUGUAUCCUUGACGUGCUAAUUUCCCUCAGUGACUCGUGCUGCUCAGUACUCAUUAGAGAGAGGUGGUUCAAUCUUGUUUCAACCAUACUGACUCUUACUUCAUUCUUGAGUCUAUUUCAUUUUGGAAAGGAGCGUUCACCACUGCAGUUGCUGACCAUUAGAGUUAAGUAAAUCUUCAACGCGAUCUCGACAUUAGGAGAACAAGACCCAAAAGAAUGAUCAACUCUCAGACGAUACAAUGUCAUCUCGUAAAGGUCUUGUUGAGAUCCAGCAACAGUACAGCCGGGUCAGACCGCAACAGCACUGAUCCAAUAUUUCCCAAAAUAUAUAAGGUACGUCAAGUUUGCAGUAUAUUGACAGGCCAACAUUCGCUGCAGAUUGAUCUUUACUUAAUGUUAUGAUAACCCCUCGAAUGUUGGUCUGUGAAUGUGCCGGCAACUUAAUGUACACCUAUUGAAUACACACCAGCAGAGCGGUCGCUUCUGAAAAUAAAAAACUAUUUUAUAUCCCUUUGUCAUCACGAUAUAUUAUUAUACUCAAUACCCUACCAACGUACUACUGGCUUACUCAUGAGUACAGAUACUAUUGAUGAGAGGCCAAAACUACCACCAUUUGACAUGAUAAAAACAACAAAACUCACACUUAGAUUCAGCUGUGCCUUUGUGCCUCGACCUCCAUUAAACCUUUUUUCUGUUAUUGAUAUUUAAUAUAAUCUAUACUACUAAACUUUUAUCUGCAUUAAUAGGUUAAGUAUAUUAUGUAUAACACACCCCUAACUUACCCUACAGACAGUCAAGGAAAUACACAUUUUAACCCGUCCACUGCAAUUGGCACGGAUUUGGCUUUCACUGGUAGCCUGGUGAACUUAUACUCCCAGGUCUUUCUCUGCCUCUGUGGUGGAUAGUGGAGUGUUUCCCAUAUGGUGGUAUUGGUGUGCUGGAUAUCCCUUC